rnacentral:misc_RNA from 1 species
UCGGGGGCAUCGUGAAGCAGCUGACUGUGGGCCUUUGGUUUGGGUGGCAUGUGCAGCUGCAGUGUCUGGUAUAGCGUGGUGCAGUCCUUGGCGCCUUCGCAUCGCGCUGCCUGCUUUUGUGCGAUGUUGACGAUGUGGCUGUUUCAUUAGAGAUUGACAGACGAAGUGCCUGCGUUUACUUUUUAGUGCUAAAAUAAGGUACGUGCUAAUUUGAGAUUUGUCGACAUGUCAGCAUCACAAGUAGUGCCCGAAUACGAUGUCAAAUUCAUUACGACGAACUCGUUGGAGACACAGGGAGAACGAAACGUCCAAGACGACAGUUCCACUUCGUCCAUGUCCAAUGGAGCCAAAGGUAAACGGGGAUCGCACGGUUCCUCCUGGGUCUCUGCUGUUUUUCUAAUCAUCAAUGCUGCUCUUGGGGCUGGCUUACUGAAUUUCCCACAUGCCUUUGACCAAGCUGGUGGCAUAGCAGUGGCUCUUUCUGUGCAGGCAGUGCUGCUUCUGUUUGUGGUGGGAGCCCUGCUUGUGCUGGCCUACUGUGCCAGGCGGCAGGAGUGUUCCACUUACCAAGAAGUGGUGCUGCGUGUGUGUGGGCCACGUUUCUGGAGCUGCUGCUCACUAGCAGUGGCACUCUACUGCUACGGGACCUGCAUCACCUUUCUAGUCAUCAUAGGGGACUUCUCAGAUCGCAUUUUUGCAUCUCUCUACGGGCCAAGCUACUGCAUCCACUGGUUUAUGCACAGGGACUUUGUUAUUGUCACCGCAUCUAUUGUUCUCAUCCUCCCGAUGUGCUUUUCACGGAAGAUUGAUUUUCUCAAAUACCCCAGUAUAUUUGGUGUGCUUGCUGCCCUUUAUUUGGUUCUACUGAUCGUGGUGCAGUACUUUGUUGGGAACUCGAAGUCAUCUGGUACCAGAUCCUCUCCCAGCUCUCUGGAAGAUGUUUUGACUGCUGUUCCAGUAGUAUGCUUUGGCUAUCAGUGCCAUGUGAGUUCGGUCCCUAUCUACUCGUGCCUUGAGGACCGGCGGCUGUCUACAUUCGCCAAGGCAGUGCUCAGUGCCACCCUUUUGACAGCCUCGCUGUACACGGUAGCAGGGGUGUUUGGCUACCUGACAUUUGGCCAGGGGGUUGCUAGCGAUAUACUAGAGCUCUAUGAUGCCCGUCAGCCACUAGUAUUGGUGGGAAUCCUGGCCAUGGCACUCAAGAUCAUCACUACAUACCCCAUCCUUAUCUUCUGUGGCAGGACAGCAGUGGAUGAUCUCUACGGACAGUUGCGGAGCCUUGAUGAGGAUGGUAAACGCAAUAGUGAGCUGCUUCGACGGAUAACAAUUGUGUCAAUCUGGUUUUGCACCACGGUUGUCCUGGCCUGCCUUGUACCAAACAUCAGCAUUGUCAUCCGUAUCAUUGGCUCCCUUGCUGCUACCUUCAUUUUUGUCUUUCCCGGUUUGUGCCUGUUGUUUGUCUCCAUCAAACUGGACAGGUCGUACUAUUUUGCCAAGACUAAGUGGAAACUGGCAACAGCAGUGCUGUGCGUGGCACUGGGCAUGUUUGUCUUUGGCCAAGUACUCACCAUGUCUAUAAUGGACGCUGCUUCAGGUCAUGGGCAGGCUGCGGACGUUCAGCUCUGUACAGUGCCAAAGAUGGUUCGCCUGUAUUCUUACUUCUAGUAGAAGGUCCAGUUUGAGUGACAGGGAAUUUAACCACAGGUUUUACAACUCAUGCUGUGGGUACUUAAAAAGUGCAACGGAAAGUCAUGGAUGAAGAACUCAUGCUGCUCCUUUGUUGUAUUACUUUGUUUUGUGGUUCUUGUAUAAUGUAGCCACUUGGGCUAAUGUCAGGCCUUAGGUAAUGCUCUGAAGUAAAAGAAGCACAAUGGAAUUUCAUUGUAUACGUAUACUCUGUUAGGGGCAUCAUGAAUGCGUGAGCUAGUCUGUGUAUGUUCACAUCUUUCAAAGUAUAUGGCUACUUUGACUGUGUGAGAGCCUCCGUGAUAUUGUUUUAAGUGAUGCCUAUUUACUCAUAUUACGUGAUAUACUGUAUCUAGUAUAAUGUAUUUGCUCAUCUGUCAUUGGCAGGCCCUAGGCAGAUUUUAUUUCUUAGAUUUUACCAAAUGACAGUCUUCAGUGAUGUUGAUAUUUAGCAUGUGCUAAAAAAAAAAAAAGAAAAAAAUUGUGUGGUUGCAUUAAAGCGGUGUCUAGUGCUUGGAUCAUUGGCGCUAGCCCAGGUGACUGGAAUACUACUACCACAGGUGUGCCCAAGGAUCUGCGUCGGUGUAUGCCAAGCCUUUUCACGGUACCCAUCCCCUUCCAUAUUCCCAUCUGUACCUUCUCAGCAGCGUCGUGUUUGCUUCAUGCAUACCAGCUAGUUGCAAAGCCUUGAAAUGUCCUAGACAGCCACUGAACUUGUUCAAGCAUGAAGGAAAGCAAAGCAUAUUUAACUAUUUUGCACUCUUGAAAUUCAUCAAGGAGUGUGAUACUGUUUUAAUGUACUUGUCUUUCACUGUUAUUUUUGUGCUCUGUGGGACACCAGACAUUGAUAAAUUGAUAGGGUUUAUUAACAUCCCAAAGGGCAACACUGGGUCUAUAAAGGGCACUGUAGGCGCGAACCAUUGGAUUAAAUUUUCCAUCUGUUCUUAAUAUGCACCCAGAGCUCAGUAUGCAAGUGUUUUUGCAUUACGCCCCCAUAAAAUUCUUGCACCGCGGCUGAGAGAGCAUCAGAUGUUAUAAGGAAACCUAGCAACCCCCACAUGGCAAGCCAUAAGUUGGUUACACACUUAUGACUACUACUAGUACUGCACUGCAACCAAGGUAAUAGGUCAGUUUGUCAUGUGUUCAGCUUCCACAUAUGUUGUGCGUAAAAAAGGAAUUGUGUUGCAAGUUUUGGCAAGCUGGCAUUUCAUGUCCGAUAACACUUGCUGGGUGGGGGUGCAUGUACAUAUACUGAGUCUUACAUUUAGCAGGCAACACUGUUCAUGCUUGCAGGUUUCAUGGUAAAGUGUUUUAGGUCCGCAAUGCUUCUGUGGUAAUGACUUCACAUGUUAAGAUCAACAUAUGGUGUUGCUGUCACAAAAAGUCGUACAGCUUUCUUUUGUUAUUAUUAUGCAGCUUGUGAUAUGUAGCAUGCAAUGGUUUGGUCACAGGUGCAAGCAAUGUGCUGUGGAAGGUGUGCAAGCAUGUAGCUCAGCAGGGAAAAAGAAAAAGAAAAUGUACAACUCGGAUGAAUUCAGUCGU